ACACGUGGGUAACCUGCCUUACAGAGGGGGAUAACAGUUUGAAAAGACUGCUAAUACCGCAUAAGCACACAGUACCGCAUGGUACGGGGUGAAAAGAUUUAUCGCUGUAAGAUGGACCCGCGUCUGAUUAGCUAGUUGGCAGGGUAACGGCCUACCAAGGCGACGAUCAGUAGCCGACCUGAGAGGGUGAUCGGCCACAUUGGGACUGAGACACGGCCCAAA
rnacentral:rRNA from 1 species